rnacentral:rRNA from 1 species
GAAACGACCGCUAAUACCCCAUAUGCCGAGAGGUGAAAUGAAUUUCGCCUGAGGAUGAGCCCGCGUCUGAUUAGCUAGUUGGUGUGGUAAUGGCGCACCAAGGCUUCGAUCAGUAGCUGGUCUGAGAGGAUGAUCAGCCACACUGGGACUGAGACACGGCCCAGACUCCUACGGGAGGCAGCAGUGGGGAAUUUUCCGCAAUGGGCGAAAGCCUGACGGAGCAACGCCGCGUGAGGGAUGAAGGCCUCUGGGCUGUAAACCUCUUUUAUCAAGGAAGAACAUCUGACGGUACUUGAUGAAUAAGCCACGGCUAAUUCCGUGCCAGCAGCCGCGGUAUUUCGGGAAUGGCAAGCGUUAUCCGGAAUUCUUGGGCGUAAAGCCUCCGCAGGCGGCCUUUGAAGUCUGUCGUUAAAGCGUGGAGCUUAACUCCAUUUCGGCGAUGGAAACUACAAGGUUAGAGUAUGGUAGGGGCAGAGGGAAUUCCCGAUGUAGCGAUGAAUUGCGUAGAUAUCGGGAAGAACACCAGUCCCGAAGGCGCUCUGCUAUC